rfam:Salmo salar isolate Sally breed double haploid chromosome ssa28, whole genome shotgun sequence.
CUCCCUGUGGCUCAGUUGGUAGAGCAUGGGGUGUGCAACACCAGGGUUGUGGGUUCGAUUCCCACGGGGGGC